UAUACAUGGGGUAUAUAAGGGUAUAUAGUGUAUACAUGGGGUAUAUACAGUGUAUAUAAGGGAUACAUACAAUGUAUACAUGGGGUAUAUAAGGGGUAUAUAUAGUGUAUAUAAGGGGUAUAUACAGUAUAUACAUUGGGUAUAUAAGGGUAUAUAGUGUAUACAUGGGGUAUAUACAGUAUAUACAUGGGGUAUAUAAGGGGUAUACAGUGUAUACAUGGGGUAUAUAAGGGUAUAUAGUGUAUACAUGGGGUAUAUACAGCGUAUAUAAGGGGUACAUACAAUAUAUACAUGGGGUAUAUAAGGGGUGUAUACAUGGGGUAUAUAAGGGGUAUAUAUAGUGUAUAUAAGGGGUAUAUACAGUAUAUACAUGGGGUAUAUAAGGGUAUAUAGUGUAUACAUGGGGUAUAUACAUGGGGUAUAUAAGGGGUAUACAGUGUAUACAUGGGGUAUAUACAGCGUAUAUAUACAUGGGGUAUAUAAGGGGUGUAUACAUGGGGUAUAAAAGGGGUAUAUAUAGUGUAUAUACGGGGUGUAUACAGUGUAUACAUGGGGUAUAUAAGGGGUAUACAGUGUAUACAUGGGGUAUAUAAGGGUAUACAGUGUAUACAUGGGGUAUAUACAGUGUAUAUAAGGGGUACAUACAAUGUAUACAUGGGGUAUAUAAGGGGUGUAUACAUGGGAUAUAAAAGGGGUAUAUAUAGUGUAUACAUGGGGUAUAUAAGGGGUAUAUAUAUAGUUUAUAUAAGGGGUAUAUACAGUGUAUACAUGGGGUAUAUAAGGGGCAUAUACAUGGGUAUAUAAGAGGUAUAUAUAGUGUAUACAAGGGGUAUAUAAGUGAUAUAUACAUGGGGUAUAUAAGGGGUAUACAGUGUAUACAUGGGGUAUAUAAGGGUAUAUAGUGUAUACAUGGGGUAUAUACAGUGUAUAUAAGGGGUACAUACAAUGUAUACAUGGGGUAUAUAAGGGGUGUAUACAUGGGAUAUAAAAGGGGUAUAUAUAGUGUAUACAUGGGGUAUAUACAGUGUAUACAUGGGGUAUAUAAGGGGUAUAUAUAUAGUUUAUAUAAGGGGUAUAUACAGUGAAUACAUGGGGUAUAUAAGGGGCGUAUACAUGGGGUAUAUAAGGGGUAUAUACAGUGUAUACAUGGGGUAUAUAAGGGGUAUACAGUGUAUACAUGGGGUAUAUAAGGGUAUAUAGUGUAUACAUGGGGUAUAUACAGUGUAUAUAAGGGAUACAUACAAUGUAUACAUGGGGUAUAUAAGGGGUGUAUAUAUAGUGUAUAUAAGGGGUAUAUACAGUAUAUACAUGGGGUAUAUAAGGGUAUAUAGUGUAUACAUGGGGUAUAUACAGUAUAUACA
rnacentral:lncRNA from 1 species